rnacentral:lncRNA from 1 species
CUAAUUCUAACCAGAUGAAUCCAAGAGUUUGAAGAACAUUCAAAUUGGUGAGACAGCAAUUAUUCAUACAUGAAAAGCUUAUAUUUCAUAAGCAGUCUUCUUCAUAUAUUAUUCUUAAAUAGGAAAGUGUAAGGUAAACCAGAAUAUAUUUUUCUUAUUAAAAUCCAACAAAGAGAUCUAGGGUAUAUUGUAUAUGUUUCCAUCGCAUUCACACCUCCAAAUUUGCGGGUAGUAGUCUAUAGGAAUCUUCUGAACCUCAAAUUGAACUGGUUUUUCUUGUGGCGGCACCAGCACCAGAACCGGCUUGCAAGGUGUACAUGUUGCACACCUUCCAUAGCAGUUAGGGGGGCUUGAAUCGAGAAUUUUCCCAGUCAGGUUUACUAUAGAAUCUCCUUCAGCCAUCUCGACUACGUUUUCAAGGGUAUUCACUGAUUUCUUGGGGUUUUUAUCAACAUUUGGAGGAUUGAUUGUGCUGAAAAUUGUGGACGGAGAGAAGAAUAAAAUGAAGAUAAAUAAGAAAAAUUUCUGGGUUAAUUUCAUUUUGCAAAUUAAUUGCUGCUGGGAUGUGGAGUUCAUUCAACUGUAUUUUUUCCAGUAGCCCCUUAAUGAGUUUAUAUACAAAUAGGGGCUAGGCCUGUUAGAUAACAUUUGUGAGAUUGCAAAUAUGUAGUUG